UCACUAGUGAUUCUUGGUCAUUUAGAGGAAGUAAAAGUCGUAACAAGGUUUCCGUAGGUGAACCUGCGGAAGGAUCAUUAGUGAUUAAUUAUUGAGUGUAAAAAACUCAUAAUCUUCUAUACAAACCACUGUUUUAAAAUGUUUACUAGAAUGUCCAAGCAGUUAAGCUGUUGAAAUAUUAAAAGUUUAAUAAAACUUUCAGCAACGGAUCUCUUGGUUCAGGCACCGAUGAAGAACGCAGCGAAAUGCGAUAAGUAAUGUGAAUUGCAGAUACAGUGAAUCAUCGAAUCUUUGAACGCAAAUGGCACUCUAUGGUAUUCCGUAGAGUACGUCUGUUUGAGCGUCGCGAACAUCUCCACAAUUAGUUUUUUUUAAUUAGUUGAGGGUUUUGAGGUUGUCAUAUAAACAAUGACUCCCUUUAAAAUAAUUAGUGAUGACCUUAUGAAUGGGUUAAUACUGUGUGUUAUAAUGGAUUACAUCCAUCACCAGUCAGAGAGUAAUCUCGCCUUAGUAAUUUGUAGUGAUUGCUUCUAACUGCCAUUGGCAAACAAACUGAUCAAAUCGACCUCAAAUCAGAUGGGAUUACCCGCUGAACUUAAGCAUAUCAAUAAGCGGA
rnacentral:rRNA from 1 species